GCACAGUUGGUAGAGCAAGUGACUUUUGAUCUUGGGGUCAUAGGUUUGAGCCCCACCUUGGGUGUAGAGAUUACUUAAAAAAUAAAAUCUUAGGGGUGCCUGGGUGACUCAGUGGGUUAAGCAUCCAGCUCUGCUUUUCAGCUCAGGUCAUGAUCCCAUAGUUUGUGGGAUCAAGACCCACAUCAGGCUCCCAGACUGACAGCACAGAGACUACUUGGGAUUCUCUCUCUCUCCCUUUCUUUCUGUCUCCCCACCUCCACCCUGCUCACACAUGUGCACGCAUGCAUGUGUGUGCUCUCUCUCUCUCAAAAUAAAUAAAUCUUGAAAAAUCUUGAAAAAAUUUAUAGGACAUAAAAAAAGGUGGUAUUUCUUGCAUACUUGAGUUGGAGGAUAGAUUAUCAUCCACUAGGAAUGAAUUCUGGAGCCUUUAAGUCCUGAAACGUUGCUCCCCAUCCCCCUCUUCUGCCCCCCAAAUUUUGCCAAGACUUGAACUGGUCCAGAAUUUAGCCCCUCAUCCCCUCAUCUUUUGCCUGUAGUGUGGCCAUUUGGAGAAUGUUUUAUCAUUCUCAAGACUGGAUGGUGACCUGUCCUCAUGGCAGCCUGGCACAGCCCCAGAAGGGGAAUUCUUCAGCCACCAGACAUCUCCUUCCAGACACUGAAGGUCCCAGUAAGGCAAACUGUAUCCUUCACUCAAGGAAGAUGGAGAGUAGAAGUGUUGUUCAAGGCCAAGCCCCAAGCAUGAGAGGGUGAGGAACCCAGGGAGACCAGAGAAGAAGCUCCACAGGAAAAUGAACCCAGGUGGGUGUGGGUGGGGGUGAGUCUGUGUGGGAUAGGAAGGAUUCCUCUAGUCAGCACUGGGCCAUUGGGAGCAACGUGCCCAAGCAUGCCAGGAGAUCUAUAGAGUUCUCUCUCUCUCUCUCUCUCUCUCUCUCAGACCCACUGGUUACCUCCACUCUACUAAAGACCUCUUAGAAACCACAAGCAUCUGUAUCCCAUCUCCAGCCUCUCUCUUGUGCCUACUGUCCCCCUCCACCUCGAUGCAGAGCCAAAGCUCCCAAGGAAUGGUGGGGUGACGGAAUGUCUGACUUUCUCAUGCUCCUUCAGCCUGGGGACACAACAUCUAUCUCUGAGGUUCAUCCAGAGUCCUCUGUCUGAGGACAGGAGGGAAGCGGAAGAGGCAUGCAGCCGAAGCAGAAAUGUGGGCCAAGAAGAUGUGAGCCGGGACACAACGCAGGAGCGGAGGGUAAAGAAGAUGCAGCCAAAGAAUGGAGGGAGGAAAGAAAAGAGGGAACAGCGGUGGGGAGGAGAAGACAAGACAAAUGUGAUGGGGUCUGUUUGGGGGAGAGACAUAAGCCCAGCAGGGGCACCCUUGAGCAUCUGGGGACCCUCUGCAGAGCUCCUGAUAUUGGCUGGGGUGAACCCUCAGUGUCACUGCCUUGUCUGCCACUAGAAUCUGGCAGGCUGGCUGGCAGGCACAGGGGAGCCUUGGCAGUGACAGGACAUCCCCACCCCCUGGUAGCCAGGGGCAACCUCUUUGGGGCCUUCCAGGAAGAUAAGCUGCCUCCUUAGUGUUUCUGGCUCUUCUAGUUCAACAACGUAGACUUAGGGUUUCUGGCUGAAAACACACGUCUCCCAAGAGGCAGAUUAAUGGCAUAUGGUUAUACAAAAGGAUCGUCACCUGCCGGAAUGAAGGCAAGCUUCCUGCAGUCCCUGUGGCAAUAGGAAAUCCAGUUUGGGGUACGGUUGCCACCCUUACUCCAAAGGGUUGGGCGAGGAAAUAGGCUCUUGAAGCUUCUGAAGUUUACAAAGGCCUGAAACGUCCCAUAUGUGUAUUCUGUUUACACUGUGCGCCCACUGUCAGCCCACCGCAGAGCGGGACUCUCCCCAUACAAUACUGACCUUUCCC